rnacentral:rRNA from 1 species
AUCGAUGAAGAACGCAGCGAAAUGCGAUAAGUAAUGUGAAUUGCAGAAUUUAGUGAAUCAUCGAAUCUUUGAACGCACAUUGCACCUUUUGGUAUUCCUUAAGGUAUGUCUGUUCGAGCGCCGUUUUAAACUAAGACUUUGUCUUGUAUUGAUACUACCAUUUACUUUGGUUUGUCGAAAAACAUCGGCGUUAGCUAUUGCCUGAAUACACAGCAAAAUGUGGAACUCUAGCAAAAGUUGACAGCCAAAUUACAUUCUAAAACAUGGCCUCGGAUCAGAUAGGGAUACCCGCUGAACUUAAGCAUAUCAAUAAGCGGAGGAAAAGAAACCAACAGGGAUUGCCUCAGUAACGGCGAGUGAAGCGGCAAAAGCUCAAAUUUGAAAUCUGACUUCGGUCCGAGUUGUAAUUUGUAGAGGAUAAUUCGGCAUUGACUUUGGUCCAAGUUUUCUGGAACGAAACAUCUUGGAGGGUGAGAAUCCCGUACGACCAAUUGUUACUACCAUGUGAAUUUCCUUCGAAGAGUCGAGUUGUUUGGGAAUGCAGCUCAAAUUUGGUGGUAAAUUCCAUCUAAAGCUAAAUAUUGGCCAGAGACCGAUAGCGCACAAGUAGAGUGAUCGAAAGAUGAAAAGCACUUUGGAAAGAGAGUGAAACAGUACGUGAAAUUGUUGAAAGGGAAGCGCUUACAAUCAGACUUGUAUUCAGUUGUUCCACUUGUUAUUAACAAGUUUAUUCUUCUGUUUUCAGGCCAACAUCAGUUUCAGCGGUUGGAUAAAGGUUUGAGGAAUGUGAUUCUUCGGAAUGUUAUAGCCUCUUACAUAAUACAGCCUGUUGGGACUGAGGUCAGCGUUCGCUAGGAUGUUGGCGUAAUGGUUGUCAGCGGCCCGUCUUGAAACACGG